GGCAGUUCUCGGGUGAUGCACCCCAGAAUUGGGCUCCCUCCUCUGGUUCCAGGUGCAUCACCUGAGAACCGCA
rfam:Myotis brandtii contig187267, whole genome shotgun sequence.